rnacentral:rRNA from 1 species
AGCGAACGCUGGCGGCAGGCCUAACACAUGCAAGUCGAACGAACCUUUCGGGGUUAGUGGCGGACGGGUGAGUAACACGUGGGAACGUGCCUUUAGGUUCGGAAUAACUCAGGGAAACUUGUGCUAAUACCGAAUGUGCCCUUCGGGGGAAAGAUUAAUCGCCUUUAGAGCGGCCCGCGUCUGAUUAGCUAGUUGGUUGAGGUAAUGGCUCACCAAGGCGACGAUCAGUAGCUGGUCUGAGAGGAUGAUCAGCCACAUUGGGACUGAGACACGGCCCAAACUCCUACGGGAGGCAGCAGUGGGGAAUCUUGCGCAAUGGGCGAAAGCCUGACGCAGCCAUGCCGCGUGAAUGAUGAAGGUCUUAGGAUUGUAAAAUUCUUUCACCGGGGACGAUAAUGACGGUACCCGGAGAAGAAACCCCGGCUAACUUCGU